CACAUCGUUCUUUUUGUUUGAACUAAAGUUCUGGACAGUGUCCAUGUUCGAAUAUUCUGAUGAGUGGAUACAUUUGCUAAUCAAGGUCGCCCAGCAUGGCCUGGUCCUCCUGGAUGGCCCGCUCCAUUUCCUCCACCUUCUGCUGGUACAUCUCGAAGCUCCUCGGUGUCGGGCGGCUUGUUCUCCUCGCUGUAGAAGAAGCUCAUUUCCCGGAAGGGCGGGUCCAGCUGUUCUUUGAUGCUGCUGAUGAUCUCCAGGAAGGACGGACGCAUCUUGGGGUUGUACUGCCAGCACAUCCGCAUCAGCUCGAACCUGCGCACACCAAAAGACCAGUCCGGUCAGUACGCUGCAUUCUGACCACGUCAACAAACAAUACGAGGCGGUCCUUAAGGCGGAGCUCUGUUCGUAACCCAAAUUCAUACAUCAGUCAGAAUGCGCCUAGCGUCUGGUCUUCUCAAAUUGCGGUCCGCGAUAAAUGCCAUAUCGUUUGAAAAAGUGGAAAAACAAUCACUCCCUGGAAUGUGAAUUCAAAGAUUUGUUACUAAAUACAUUAUACAUGUUUGAAGGUUAUUGCUAAAAACUUGUGCAAAGACUGACAACUAUGUUGUACUCAAUUGUGGAGAUAUAAAGUCUUUUAUAAUAAAAAUUAUUCGACUUCUUCAGUUUCUUGUUCAUUUUCAAAUGCC